AGAGCCAACCUGCUGCUUCCUGGAGGAAGACAGUCCCUCUGUCCCUCUGUCUCUGCCAACCAGUUAACCUGCUGCUUCCUGGAGGGAGACAGUCCCUCAGUCCCUCUGUCUCUGCCAACCAGUUAACCUGCUGCUUCCUGGAGGAAGACAGUCACUCUGUCUCUGCCAACCCAGUUGACCGCAGACAUGCAGGUCUGCUCAGUUUGCGUUGUGUUUCUCCAACUUUGUGCCUCAUCAGGAAAAGCUUUGGAUCACAAUUCCCAGUGCUGAAGAAAAGGCCAAACUCUGGAAAAAAUUUUGAAUAUUUUGAGCCAAAUGUGAGGACUACAACCUGUGAGAACGGAAAAUAAAUCCUGGGACCCCAGACUCACUAAGCCAAAGGGAAAAGCCAAGCUGGGAACUGGCUUAUGCAAACCUGCUUCCCAUCUGGUUCCUAAAUAAGAUAGCUAUUACACAAAGAUAAAAAAGCUACAUCCCUGCCUCUACCUCCAUCGCAUGUAAAAUGUGUAUUCAGUGAACGCUGACCAAAGACAGAAGAAUGCAACAAUUUGCCUCUGAUUUACCCACACCCAUUUUUUCCACUUCUUCCCCUUUCCCCAAUACCCACACUUUUCCCCUUUACUUACUGAGGUCCCCAGAAAAUCUUUGGGAAAAGCACGGACCACAGUUUUUCCUGUGGUUCUCUGUUCUUUUCUCAGGUGUGUCCUUAACCUUGCAAAUAGAUUUCUUGAAAUGA
ensembl:lncRNA novel transcript